AUUGAACGCUGGCGGCAGGCCUAACACAUGCAAGUCGAACGAGUGGCGGACGGGUGAGUCAUGUAUGGGCAACUGCCUGAUGGAGGGGGAUAACUACUGGAAACGGUAGCCAAUACCGCAUACCAUCAGAUGUGCCCAGAUGGGAUUGGCGAGUAGGUGGGGUAAGUGCUCACCUAGGCGACGAUCCCUAGCUGGUCUGAGAGGAUGACCAGCCACAUCGGAACUGAGACACGGUCCAGACUCCUACGGGAGGCAGCAGUGGGGAAUAUUGCACAAUGGGCGCAAGCCUGAUGCAGCCAUGCCGCGUGUGUGAAGAAGGCCUUCGGGUUGUAAAGUACUUUCAGCUAGGAGGCGGUACUCGCAGAAGAAGCACCGGCUAACUCCGUGCCAGCAGCCGCGGUAAUAC
rnacentral:rRNA from 1 species